rnacentral:tRNA from 1 species
GGGCGUAUAGCUCAGAUGGUAGAGCAGCUGACUCUUAAUCAGCGGGUCCAAGGUUCGAGUCCUUGUACGCCCACCA